rnacentral:lncRNA from 1 species
GGUCGGCGAACGAGUGUCUGAAGCAGAGACCCUGGCGCGGCUGGGGCAGGACUUUACUGGCCACUUGCUGUCGACCCGCCUUGUGUGCGCCAUGAAGCGCAAGGCCCCCGACUCAAGGGAGGAGGCCUGUGUGCUGUGUUGCCGGGCCGAUUCGGACCCAGAGAGGUAUGGGGAGAAAUGGCGGAAGGAUGGUCUCUAUGCCCAUGAGACUUGCCUGUAUCUUGCCAGCGGGCUCCCUGUGAGACACACCAGUGAGACAGGAACCGACAAGUUCCUUCCGGCGGAUAUCAGGCGUGCAGUGAAGCAGACAACUCGGAAGAUGAAGAGCUAGCAGGGGCGUGGGGAGGUUUGUGGUGGCAUGGGUUUGUGCGGGCUCAGCCUGGCCCAUGGGAAGGCAAUCCUGGGGUUUUCCGUCAGUCCCAGGAGCUCCAGAGAGGAUCCAGGAGAAGCCGGAAGUCCAGUCCCUGAGCUCUGCUACGUCUGUGGUGAGCGCGGGGCCAUCACUAGCUGCCGGCAGAAGGGCUGCAAGCGCAGCUUCCACUUCCCGUGCGGCUGYRAAGAYGGCUGCGUCUCGCAGUUCUUUGGGCAGUACAGGUCCUUCUGCCGGGAACAUCUCCCGGAGCAAAGAGUGCAGGCGCAGCUGGAUGGGGAGACCUUCUGCCUCAUUUGUCUGGAGCCCGUGGAGGAAAAGCUCUCCCGCCACACUCUGGUGUGCCCUGCAUGUACGCACACGUGGUUCCACCAGGGCUGCAUCCAGACAACCCACGUGGGAGGCAGASGGUGCCUUUGCCGAGYUGUAYGAGAGGCACCGUSGAUGUGAYGCCAGCCGGUGUCUUYGUGCGCGYGGCCGAGAAGAGGCAGCAGAAGAGGGGUAAGUCAGCAAAGCUGCAAUUUCCCCMCUGCCCACRUGGCRGCAGGUGCCUUGGU